rnacentral:snoRNA from 1 species
CAGGUUUUGCUUCCAUCUCUGUAAAUUUAUUGAAGUGGUGACAGUGAGACCUG